rnacentral:lncRNA from 1 species
GGCAAUACAAUGUUAUCUGGAAACCCAAGGUUGAGAAAGGUUGGGUUGGAGUGUUGGACUAGGAUCUGGGAGACCAAGGUUCAAAUCCCCACUCAGCCAAUCAAGCUCCUUGGGUGACCUUCGGCCAAUCACUGGCUCACAGCCUAACCUACCUACCUCACAUGGUUGUUGUGGGGAUUAAAUGAAGAGGGGAAGAACCAUGUAUGCCCUGAGCUCCUUUAAGAACAAGGUGGCCUGUAAAUUCAACAAACAAAAAAAUAUUCCCCCAGAAGUGAAUCCAGACCUUUGGGAAAGGUCCCCUGCCCCCCUGGCCAACAAUACUGCAAGGAUAUUUCUUGUUAGGGACAUCCAACAUAAUUCUGAUUAGCCUUCCUGGUAUGCUUUGUCUGGAGUUCAGUUUAUUGGUCUUCUCUGACAAAGGAGUCCAGAGCUUUUCUUAAUGUAACUCAGGGCGUUGUAAUUUGUGUCACAUCCUUUGUAGAUAAAGCUGAAUUUCGAAACAAACACUUUAAAUAAUUACAUUCAUAUUUUUUAUUGCAUUUAUUGCCGUGAUUUGGAUCACUGUAAUUUGAAAUAAUGUGCCUUUUUUCACAGCAAGCAGGAAUGCAGGCAAUAAUUUACGUUGAUUAAUAUAUUAGUGUCACCUCUAGCUGGGGGUGUCUGUUGGUAGCAAGACACCAGUUUAACAAAUGUAGUGGCUGGUGAAGUUGCGCUAUAUUUGAGAGCAAAAUGUCUCCACAUUUGGCCAAAGUGAGAUGAAAUCACGCCUCUGCCCUUUUCCCUCUUGGGAAGUGGUCUGUCAUGGACAGCUUAUCGGGGGUCAGAAAAUAGGCAUGGAAAGUCCCCUGAAGUCAACCCUCUAUGGAAGUCAGCUUGGAAUCUGAUUGAGACAGUUGUGGGAGGUCAUGACUUUAAGGCUUGGAUCAGAUCCUUUGCAAAGGACCUUCUUCGUGAGAGAUUUUCCUAGGAAUAGCUUGCCAUGUUCCUUCACUUCUUGCUCAAAGAUAAAGAGAUGUGAAGUCACCGAGCUCAAAGAAAAUAGGCAAUCGCUAGCAGACAAAAGAAAAUACUUCAUCAUACCAAAUGCAAUUAACUGAGAGGAUUCACUAUCACAGCACAGGGCAGUGGCAAUGACUGAUAAUAACAAAAUACAAUGCAGUUUAAACCACAUUGUACCCCCUUGAAGUCGAGCAAUAGUACAUGACAAGUCAGCAGUAGAGCAGUCAAUAAAGCGAACACAAGGAAUAUAAGGAGCCAUCCCGAUAUCAGAGUAGUGAGAGAAUCCAGGGUUUCCAGGCUUGGUUUUCUUGGAAUGAAAGUCGGUGGAAAUUGUGGUGUCUGUAGGAUGUAUGGUUUUAUUUACACAUAGAUACUACACGGAGAGGGAUACAGCUUUAAUAUCUCAGCAGAUCUUGCUUCUCUAUUAGUUACAGCUUUGAAUCCUGCACAGCACAGAUGAAGCAUGUCUUCUAGCCUUCUUCCAAUUUUCUUUCACACAACUCUGGCUGUUUUCUUUUACCUAGCCAUUAGGUGAGAUGGUGGAGGAAAGGCCCACCCAUUAACCUGGGGGGCAUCAUUAGGUAAUUUUCGCCUCCUCAGCUUGUGAUGCAAGAUGUGACAUGUCUGCAGAGGGUGGGAAUCACUAUGUACAGAUGAAAACCAACAAGAAGGAUGCAGCCCUGGAACGACAGCUUCACAAUGAGGCUGCUGAGUUCUCCCAAACCCUGCAUCAUCAACCGCUCUUAUUUCCCAGGGGAGAGAGAUAGUUCCAAAGUGUGGUGAAACCUCACAAAGGUCCUUUCCCUCAUUCCAUUCAACCUACAGUAAUUUCUCUUAUCAAUGGGCCAGAAAUCAGGAUCUCACUGGCUGAUCGCAAAACCCAAGCAGGUUUAUCUCCAGCACCUCAUGUUCAGCUUUCAUGGUUUUAUGGAAUGGCAUACUGCCAUCAUACUGCCAUACAAAUUCAGCUAUCAUGGGGAAUAGCCAUUAGUAGUCAUAAGAAUAUAAAAGAGUGCAUCUAGUCUAGCAUCCUUUUUCUCACAGUGGCCAAUUAGAUGACUCUAGGAAGCACACAAGCAGGUCAUGAGUGCAAUAGCUCAUUCUGUCCUGUGCCCUUUCCCAAGUCCUGUCUAGCAGUGAAGCACAGAAGUGGAGUUUUGAAAGGUGGAUGUUUUUGCAAGGAACAGAUAUAUGCAUAAACAUACCCUUAGCCAGCUGUUUUGGAGCAGUUACACCACUGACCUAUACAGUGCUGGAAUAUAUUGCUUUUGCUCAACUUCAACUUCCUGGCACUGUGUUGAAAAGAGCAGGCUUCAUUAGGGAUUCCAGGCAGACACAACAUUUCCUCCCUCCAGUUGACUUGCUGGCUCCUUUCCCCCUCUCCACCCACCCAUCCCACUUCUCAGUUGUGGUUCAGCAGCAUUGCACUUCCUCCACCAGUCACGUUGCUUUGCAGUCCAUCAUGCUGGUGUCUGUCAAAAAACUCCUAGCUAAUAUCUGCCGCUCCAAAUCCCCAGACUUGCACAGAAAGGGAAUGAGCACAAGAGAGGGGCAGAGGAAUAAACCGUGAAUGGAAGGUGGUUCAUUCAGGGUUAGGGCAUAAAUGUGACUGAUCCUUAUAUCCACCAAGAUGUUUAAGAAGCCUUUUUUGCAUCUGGCCCAAGAAUUCAUCUUCCAUUACUGUGUCCAUCCUAAUAUGUAUACAGUACAGAUGCCACAAAUAAUCUACAAUUUCCAGCUUCUAGGGCAAAACCAGCAUAUUUGUCAUUUCAGUUGGGUGUCUUCAACAUUCAUGGGGCUUAUCAGAAUAUUAUCAGUGGGUGAAGGGGGUGACUGGUGCAUAAUUAAGCCAAAUCAUGGUUGUGUGAUGUACAACAAUGAUCAGAUCUGUUUCGCAAAAACAAAAACAAAAGAUUAGCUCCUUAGACAGGUAGUGGCAGUCUGAGAUAUUACUGUCAGAUCUUCCAGAAAGUGGAGACAUUGAAUGAACAAACUGAUGAGAAAUUUAAAGGGGAUAACACUGUGUACCAAGUGUGGUUCAGAACUGUGGUGUAAUACAUGCAAUGGAAAUAAGUCUCAAUAAGCUCCAUGGGGUCUACUCCCAAGUAAGAGUAUGCUGCACUGAAGCCUCAGGGAGAGGCUUGUGAAUGGGGGAAAUAUUGUGCAAUUGAUCCAACAAUUGUUGAUGUUGAAGGGCGUGGCAAUCCCAAACCGGCAGCUGGUUUGAGAAUAUCAUUGUCGGAUCGGC